UAAAGUUGUUGCGGUUAAAAAGCUCGUAGUCGGAGGUGUGUCUCGGACGGUCGGUUCGCCGCUUGUCGGUGCUCAACUGGCCGGUCCGGACGUCCUGCCGGUGGGGCUGUAAAAGGCUCCGUUAUCCUUCUUUGGUCCUCUUCAUUGAGUGCCUUGGUGGGCCGGCACGUUUACUUUGAACAAAUUAGAGUGCUCAAAGCAGGCCGUUGGUCGCCUGAAUACUGUGUGCAUGGAAUAAUGGAAUAGGACCUCGGUUCCAUUUUGUUGGUUUUCAGAACUCGAGGUAAUGAUUAAUAGGGACGGACGGGGGCAUUCGUAUUGCGACGUUAGAGGUGAAAUUCUUGGAUCGUCGCAAGACGAACCGAUGCGAAAGCAUUUGCCAAGAACGUUUUCGUUGAUCAAGAACGAAAGUUAGAGGUUCGAAGGCGAUCAGAUACCGCCCUAGUUCUAACCAUAAACGAUGCCAGCUAGCCAUCCGCCGAAGUUCCUUAUAUGACUCGGCGGGCAGCUUCCGGGAAACCAAAGCUCUUGGGUUCCGGGGGAAGUAUGGUUGCAAAGCU
rnacentral:rRNA from 2 species